rnacentral:rRNA from 1 species
AUUGAACGCUGGCGGCAGGCCUAACACAUGCAAGUCGAGCGGAUGAUGGAGCUUGCUCCCGGAUUCAGCGGCGGACGGGUGAGUAAUGCCUAGGAAUCUGCCUGGUAGUGGGGGACAACGUUUCGAAAGGAACGCUAAUACCGCAUACGUCCUACGGGAGAAAGCAGGGGACCUUCGGGCCUUGCGCUAUCAGAUGAGCCUAGGUCGGAUUAGCUAGUUGGUGGGGUAAAGGCCUACCAAGGCGACGAUCCGUAACUGGUCUGAGAGGAUGAUCCUUCACACUGGAACUGAGACACGGUCCAGACUCCUACGGGAGGCAGCAGUGGGGAAUAUUGGACAAUGGGCGAAAGCCUGAUCCAGCCAUGCCGCGUGUGUGAAGAAGGUCUUCGGAUUGUAAAGCACUUUAAGUUGGGAGGAAGGGCAGUAAGUUAAUACCUUGCUGUUUUGACGUUACCAACAGAAUAAGCACCGGCUAACUUCGUGCCAGCAGCCGCGGUAAGAC